rnacentral:rRNA from 1 species
AACCUGGUUGAUCCUGCCAGUAGUCAUAUCGCUCGUCUCAAAGAUUAAGCCAUGCAUGUCUACAGUAUAAAUCACUCUAUACUGCGAAACUGCGAACUGGCUCAUUAUAUCAGUUAUAGUUUAUUUGAUAGUCCCUUACUACAUGGAUAACCGUGAGUAAUUCUAGAGCUAAUACAUGCAUCCAUACCCAACUGUGUCGCGGACGUGGUAGUAUAUUAUUAUGAUAGAACACCACACCACUGCUUUCCGGAGUGCGCAUCAGAGUGUGUAUCACUGUAAUAUACAUCCCUGACAGCAAGUACUGCCACUUUGGGCCUUCCGUUCGCCCCGGCGGCAGCAAUGAGUAAAUUCUAUCUUCCAGAUGUUUCUUCGUAGGCCCUC